GACGAACCGAGCGAACGUUGUUCGGAAUCACUGGGCUUAAAGGGCGCGUAGGCGGGCUGCCAAGUCCGGGGUGAAAUCCACCGGCUCAACCGGGGAAGGGCCUCGGAUACUGGCGGCCUGGAGGGGGGUAGGGGCGUGCGGAACUGUGGGUGGAGCGGUGAAAUGCGUUGAUAUCCACAGGAACUCCGGUGGCGAAGGCGGCACGCUGGACCCCACCUGACGCUGAGGCGCGAAAGCCAGGGGAGCGAACGGG
rnacentral:rRNA from 1 species